AUGGUGCCCAGUUAUACCAAUCUUGGAGAUUAUCUUCCCGACGAUGUACAUUAUGAUUUCUUGGAGGUGGACAAACACAGAUACGAGUACGGGAAGCCUCUCGUCAAAGAUGAAAGAUCUCUAACAACGAUGAUGCGAAUAUUCUAUGAUUGGUACAUGAAAACCUGCAGAGAGUCUGGGGGGAGGAAUAUUUUGACGCUGAGAGUUAAAGAGGAGCAUGACCUCGUUGGAAUUGAUCUGUUGAAUGUUUCAUUUGAGGAGUUCUUCCAGUUUUUCAAUCAACAGGCCCUCGAUAAAUUAACGGUCACUUGCUACUGUCUGUAA
rnacentral:rRNA from 1 species